CAAAGCUAAUUAUUGCGCGAAUGCCGCGUCAUAGCGGCAAAGACGCAUCAUUCAAUUAGCCGCAUCAACGGUGACUUGGAAGACGAGCAUUACGUGGAGCUCGCUUCGAAACUGCCUAUGUCAUCGGAAGAGCUCGUGCGCUUCGUGGAAGACAAACUUUCACAAAAGGAAUGCACGGAUGCUAUGAUGCGGUAUUAUUGAAGUCAAAGGGCGCAAAAGUCAGUGUGGAUGGUAUGCUUUCUGACGAUCUAAUGUACCACUACAAUUUAGAGGGGCGCAAGGAGAAGGGAUCCCUACUAAAGCUAAAGGUCGUAGGGUUAGUUUCUGAUACAUUUCUACCGCUUCGAAUUUGUUUGCUACAUGGUAACUUUUCGAUAUGGAGACCGCCAUGUAGCUGAUGAAUUUUUCUUGUUGGAAUCUAGUAGUACAGAUAACCACAUUUCGUGCCACGACGAAGUCGAUCAGCUUCAACCCAUGUUCCCUGAACGUCGUCAAACACGAUUUCUUAGGUGCUUGAAGAGCUUCGUUUUGAUGCGGAUUGUGGCUAGACGUUCAUCCACCGGGGUGAAUGUCAUUACGGAGUCUCUCCCUCCUAAACCGAAUUUUCGCUUCUUUAUGUGGCCACUGUAGUAAAUUCCACAAGGACCUACUCGCUUUAGUCCUUGCCCGUCCACCGCAUUUCUUGAACGACGGGGACAUCAACUAGAUGGAAAGCGAAACCUAUAUCAAUCUCUCAUCUUGUCUUCUGGGAGUCUGUUUGAUUCCUUUGCAUUGCUUCCUCCGUUGGCGUUGAUUCCAUACUUAGAAUCAAUCGAGAACCGAAGAUCCUUAUCAAAAAUUAUUGGCUGCAACCAACCAAAUAAAACCUUUGAUUUAGUUUCCCAACGGUUCUCGUGCCUUAUACUUGGAUCGUUGUGCAACUCAGUAAAAAAUUCAGGACAGCCAUAAGUGCUCAACCUUUCGACGUUUUUCCAUACUCCAUGCAAGCAGCCACACACCAACAAUUGUAACCUGCUCUGCUCUGCCCAAUGUAGUUUUCCGAUUGAGCUUUCAGCUAUUUCUUCACCUGUGUAAAAUUGGUCAACUCCACUUCAUGGAUUACACCUUACAAUGUGGGACUCUACCGACUGUGAGAACAUCUGGACUGGUAUAAAUUUUUCCUGCUCUCCCGACUACUUUUCCUGUAUUGAUAUAUAUUGCAGGAGUUCAAGUCGAGUAGAAAAUCGUUCGGCUGUCUGUUGUGAUUGCAGCGUCUCGAAGUUUUUUACUGCACAUAGGCGGGCGCAAAUAUUGGCUAGAACAGGAUAGUGGUCGGAGUCAAUAUUAGGACUUUGGAGCGAACGCUCUUUUAAAACACAGAAGACACGUCUUCCCGUGUAUCACAACAUGAUCGAUUUGGUUGGUGGUUUUUCGAUCCGGAGACA